rnacentral:rRNA from 1 species
UAAGGAAUAUUGGUCAAUGGGCGCAAGCCUGAACCAGCCAUGCCGCGUGCAGGAAGACGGCCCUAUGGGUUGUAAACUGCUUUUAUCAGGGAAUAAACCCCCGCUCGUGAUCGGGGCUGAAGGUACCUGAAGAAUAAGCAUCGGCUAACUCCGUGCCAGCACCCGCGGUAAUACGGAGGACGCAAGCGUUAUCCGGAUUCAUUGGGUUUAAAGGGUGCGCAGGCGGAUUGGUAAGUCAGGGGUGAAAUCCCACAGCUCAACUGUGGAACUGCCUUUGAUACUGUCAGUCUAGAGUAUAGUUGAAGUGUGCGGAAUGUGUCAUGUAGCGGUGAAAUGCUUAGAUAUGACACAGAACACCGAUCGCGAAGGCAGCUCGCUAAGCUAUAACUGACGCUCAUGCACGAAAGCGUGGGGAUCAAACAG